GGUAGCGAACCGGAUUAGAUACCCCGGGUAGUCCACGCCGUAAACGAUGGAUGCUAAUUGUUUGAGGUAUCGACCCCUCGAGUAAUAAAGCUAACGCGUUAAGCAUCCCGCCUGUGGAGUACGGCCGCAAGGCUAAAACAUAAAGGAAUUGACGGGGACCCGCACAAGCGGUGGAGGAUGUUCUUUAAUUCGAAGUUAAGCGAAGAACCUUACCAGGGCUUGACAUCCCUAGAACUUUUUCGAAAGAAAAAGGUGCCUUCGGGAGCUAGGUGACAGAUCCUGCAUGGCCGUCGUCAGCUCGUGUCGUGAGAUGUUUGGUUAAGUCCAUCAACGAGCGCAACCCUUGUCGUCAGUUGUAUUUUUCUGGCGAGACUGCCCCGGUAACGGGGAGGAAGAAGGGGAUGAUGUCUGGUCAGUAUUGGUCUUACGCCCUGGGCUAGAAACGUCCUACAAUGGUCGGUACAAUGGGCANGCCAACCCGUGAGGGGGAGCAAAUCCCAUCAAAGCCGGUCUCAGUUCGGAUUGCAGGCUGAAACUCGCCUGCAUGAAGUCGGAAUCGCUAGUAAUCGCAGAUCAGCACGUUGCGGUGAAUACGUUCCCGGGUCUUGCACACACCGCCCGUCAAACCAUGAAAGUCAGGAGCACCCGACGUCCGGAUUUAUUUCGGCCUAAGGUGAGCUUGGUGAUUGGGGUU
rnacentral:rRNA from 1 species